rnacentral:rRNA from 1 species
AACGAACGCUGGCGGCAUGCCUAACACAUGCAAGUCGAACGAGAUCUUCGGGUCUAGUGGCGCACGGGUGCGUAACGCGUGGGAAUCUGCCCUUUGGUUCGGAAUAACAGUUGGAAACGACUGCUAAUACCGGAUGAUGACGAAAGUCCAAAGAUUUAUCGACAGAGGAUGAGCCCGCGUAGGAUUAGCUAGUUGGUGUGGUAAAGGCGCACCAAGGCGACGAUCCUUAGCUGGUCUGAGAGGAUGAUCAGCCACACUCGGACUGAGACACGGCCCAGACUCCUACGGGAGGCAGCAGUGGGGAAUAUUGGACAAUGGGCGAAAGCCUGAUCCAGCAAUGCCGCGUGAGUGAUGAAGGCCUUAGGGUUGUAAAGCUCUUUUACCCGGGAUGAUAAUGACAGUACCGGGAGAAUAAGCUCCGGCUAACUCCGUGCCAGCAGCCGCGGUAA